GCAAGAUAGCUAGCCUGACCCUAAUAACACACAGCAAAAAUAUGAAAAGCAUAACCCAAAAUUUAACACUAAAACAUUCUACCAUUCUAGUAUAGGCGAUAGAAAGAUACGACAGAGCUAUAGAAAAAGUACCACAAGGGAAAGCUGAAAGAGAAAUGAAAAAACCCGAUAAAGCAAGGAAAAGCAGAGACUAACACUUGUACCUUUUGCAUCAUGAUUUAGCAAGAAAGCCCGAGCGAAGAGAACUUUAGUUCGACCCCCCGAAACCAGGAGAGCUACUCCGAGACAGCCCAAAGGGGCCAACCCGUCUCUGUGGCAAAAGAGUGGGAAGAGCUCCGAGUAGAGGUAACAAGCCUACCGAGCCUGGUGAUAGCUGGUUGUCUAGGAAAUGAAUAUAAGUUCAGCCCUAUAUAAUUCUUACCCCAGUCUUCUGAAGACCAAAGUGAGAUAUAAGAGCUAGUCAAAGGGGGUACAGCCCCUUUGAAAUGGGAUACAACCCUAAACAGGAGAUCCAGGAUCAUAAUUAAACAAGAAAACUUCCCCAGUGGGCCUAGAAGCAGUCAACUGGAAAGAAAGCGUUAUAGCUCAAGAAGUAAAUCCCUUAUAAUAAAGAUAGCUCAUCCCCACUCCCUUGAUAUACUAGACCCCUCUAAAAGAUAGAGAAGAUAAUGCUAAAAUUAGUAAUAAGAGGACUAAACCUCUCCCCGCACGAUUGUAAAUCAGCCCGGAUACUACCACUGAUAAAUAACGGACCCUAUAGAUGAGGGUAAAGCAAGACUAAUAAAGAACAAGAAAAACCAGCCCCCGACACCGUUAACCCAACACAGGAGUGCAUCAAGGAAAGACUAAAAGAUAAGGGAAGGAACUCGGCAAACUAGGGCCCCGCCUGUUUACCAAAAACAUCGCCUCUAGCCAAUCACCAAGCAUUAGAGGUCCCGCCUGCCCUGUGACAGCAAUGUUCAACGGCCGCGGUAUUUUAACCGCGCGAAGGUAGCGUAAUCACUUGUUUUUUAAAUGGAGACCUGUAUGAAUGGCAUAACGAGGGCCUGACUGUCUCCCCUAUCUAGUCAAUGAAAUUGAUCUGUUCGUGCAGAAGCGAACAUUUACCCAUAAGACGAGAAGACCCUAUGGAGCUUUAGGUAUAAAGGUAAGGGGUAUAAAGCCUUACAUGAAAUGCAAGAUAAAGCAAACCCUUAUUACCAGUGUACCUUCGGUUGGGGCGACCGCGGAGAAAAAAAUAUCCUCCACGUGGAAAGGUUAAAACCUUAAACCAAGAGGGACACCUCUAAGAAGCAGAACAUCUGACCAAGAAUGAUCCAGGACCAACCUGAUCAAAGAACCAAGUUACCCUAGGGAUAACAGCGCAAUCCUUUCCCAGAGUCCAUAUCGACGAAAGGGCUUACGACCUCGAUGUUGGAUCAAGACAUCCUAAUGGUGCAGCCGCUAUUAAGGGUUCGUUUGUUCAACGAUUAAAGUCUUACGUGAUCUGAGUUCAGACCGGAGUAAUCCAGGUCGGUUUCUAUCUAUGAUUGUCUUACCCCUAGUACGAAAGGACCGGGGUAAGGAGGCCAAUGCCGAAAGCAAGCCUCUCCCCCACCCGCUGAAACAAUAUCAAACGGAAAAAGUGGGAAAACCAACCGCCAGAGAUAAUGGCAU
rnacentral:rRNA from 1 species